rnacentral:rRNA from 1 species
CUACGGGAGGCAGCAGUGAGGAAUAUUGCACAAUGGAGGAAACUCUGAUGCAGCAACGCCGCGUGGAGGAUGACGCAUUUCGGUGUGUAAACUCCUUUUAUGAGUCAAGAAAAUGACGGUAGCUCAUGAAUAAGCACCGGCUAACUCCGUGCCAGCAGCCGCGGUAAUACGGAGGGUGCAAGCGUUACUCGGAAUCACUGGGCGUAAAGGACGCGUAGGCGGGAUAUCAAGUCAGGUGUGAAAUCCUACAGCUUAACUGUAGAACUGCACUUGAAACUGGUAACCUAGAGUAUGGGAGGGGGAGAUGGAAUUAGUGGUGUAGGGGUAAAAUCCGUAGAUAUCACUAGGAAUACCUAAAGCGAAGGCGAUCUCCUGGAACAUAACUGACGCUAAGGCGUGAAAGCGUGGGGAGCAAACAGGAUUAGAUACCCGCGUAGUC